rnacentral:rRNA from 1 species
UAGGGAAUUUUCGUCAAUGGGGGCAACCCUGAACGAGCAAUGCCGCGUGAGCGAAGAAGGUCUUCGGAUUGUAAAGCUCUGUUGCCGGGGAAAAAGGAAGGAAAGAGGAAAUGCUUUUCUUUGGAUGGUACCCGGCCAGAAAGUCACGGCUAACUACGUGCCAGCAGCCGCGUAAUAUGAGUCU